AUACGGAGGAUCCGAGCGUUAUCCGGAUUUAUUGGGUUUAAAGGGUGCGCAGGCGGCCCUUUAAGUCAGCGGUUAAAUCGUGGGGCUCAACCCCAUUCUGCCGUUGAUACUGGGUGGCUUGAUUGCGGUCGAGGUUGGCGGAAUUCGUUGUGUAGCGGGUGAAUGCAUAGAUAUGACGAAGAACAACGAUUGCGUAGGCAGCUGACCAGACCGCAAAUGACGCUCAUGCACGAAAGUGCGGGGAUCGAACAGGAUUAGAUACCCUGGUAGUCCGCACAGUAAACGAUGAAUACUUGUUUUCGGCGAUAUAAUGUCGGAGGCAAAGCGAAAGCGAUAAGUAUUCCACCUGGGGAGUACGCCGGCAACGGUGAAACUCAAAUGAAUUGGCGGGG
rnacentral:rRNA from 1 species